rnacentral:misc_RNA from 1 species
CUGGUUCAUCAGUCCGGAAAUCGCCUACGGUCUCAAACAAUCGCUCGGCUAUAACCUGACGCUGACACCGUCCGCACGUGUGCGCUAUCUCGCCGCCGGUUUCGGCGGUUAUCAGGAAAGCGGGAUUUGACGGUGGCUUCACGCACCUCGCACAAUUUCGAGGAGCGCGGCGAGCUGAAGUUGACGCACACAACAAACGCGACGCCGACCGAGCAGCUUCAGUUGAGCGGCACCGCCGGCCUGAUCGCCUUGCAGCGCGUUGGCGACAGCAACGUCAACACCAUCCUGCUUGGGCAGAGCCUCGCUUUU